rnacentral:rRNA from 1 species
AACGAACGCUGGCGGCAUGCCUAACACAUGCAAGUCGAACGAGACCUUCGGGUCUAGUGGCGCACGGGUGCGUAACGCGUGGGAACCUGCCCUUAAGUUCGGAAUAACUCCCCGAAAGGGGUGCUAAUACCGGAUAAUGUCUUCGGACCAAAGAUUUAUCGCCUUUGGAUGGGCCCGCGUUGGAUUAGCUAGUUGGUAGGGUAAAAGCCUACCAAGGCGACGAUCCAUAGCUGGUCUGAGAGGAUGAUCAGCCACACUGGGACUGAGACACGGCCCAGACUCCUACGGGAGGCAGCAGUGGGGAAUAUUGGACAAUGGGCGAAAGCCUGAUCCAGCAAUGCCGCGUGAGUGAUGAAGGCCUUAGGGUUGUAAAGCUCUUUUACCCGGGAUGAUAAUGACAGUACCGGGAGAAUAAGCUCCGGCUAACUCCGU